GGAGAGAUGGCCGAGAGGCCGAAGGCGCUCGCCUGCUAAGCGAGUAUGUGGGGAAACCUGCAUCCCGGGUUCGAAUCCCGGUCUCUCCGCCA
rnacentral:tRNA from 1 species